rnacentral:lncRNA from 1 species
CAACUGGUAACACAUCUCAUUACAAUCAUUACUAAAUAAAGAGAGUAAAAUUAACAUUGCAGGAUAACCAAGAACUUUGGUGCUUGAUGAAUAGGAGGGACAGGGAAUGAGAGAGCAAUUAUUCAGGACACAACAUCACAUUGUUUAAGGAGGUCUCUGGAGAUUGUUCUAGUGAUGAAACAUUAACUGGUUUCAUCCACAUCAAAGAAAGGUUAUGACUAAAGCCCAUAGGUGACUAUCAGUUCUUAUAUUUGCAAUAGCAAAAUUUCAAAAGCACUAUUAGUUAUAGAAGAAACAUUGGACUCAUAAGUUGACAAUCUUGAAAAGUACAAUGAGGGAUGGAAAGAAAAGUACUUGCAAAUCAGAGAGAAAUUUAAAGCUGAAUUUAAUAGAAACCCUUACCUAAUUCCCGGAAUUGAGCUCUUAGAAGACAUACUUUGAAUUCGCAAAAGUAGGUUAGAAAAAAACAUUCUGGGUGUCAGUCAAACACAAGUUUCUGUACAAA